AUGRACUUCUGGUUCAUGCGGGAAGUGAUGAAUGGGGUUUUCACUUUUCUUAGUGAGACGUGUCACUCUCCUGUUACGCACGACACGUAACCCAUCUGAUC